GUUUUUAUAGUUUAUAUAAAACAUAAAUUUUGUAAAUUUAAAAACCUCUUUAUAGGUAAAAACU
ensembl:Mt_tRNA